UUUCAGUCAUAAGGGCCCUCCAAGAGAAACAGUAACUCAAAUGUGGCCGACGACAAAAAUAAGAUUGACACCCCUGGUGUACGGCAAGGGAUGAGCUGUAGUUAACCAUGUCAUUUGUGGCCUCCGCACAUCUGACCCAAGCUACUGCGCAUGAUUUUGCAGCAAUCACAGGAGCUUCACAAUCAUAAAAUACCAGGAGCUGUCAGGCGGGCGUGAAAGGGGGGCAUGAUUAAAUGUGUCAGGUCUCGACAUAGAAACAAGAAGAAACAUGCUUGGCAGGUCUGCAACAGGGGAAAAAAAAAAAAAAAAAAAAAGCACCUUCACGAUGAUUCAUGACUGUGGUGCGCCCUUUCAAGUGAGGACAGGGGACAGAUACUAUCACGGUGACGAAAGUAGGCUGUGCUCAGCCGCUGCGGGGCAUCACAACAUUCCAAGAAACAUCCUGGGACUUGACAGGGAUUCCUCAACUCGAGCGUCGUCGAGCUUGGUGUGCCCAGCCACUAUUCGGAUGUUACCACCCUCCUGCCUUUAUUCCUUGCCUCCCUUGUCUUCUUCCUCAGUACCCAACCCCCAUUCUCCGCCUUUUCUUUUGAGUUUCAGAGGAAUUUGCUCAGACAUCCUUUCAAUGGACAGACUGACAUGUUAAAACUUGCUGGAGCUCGAGAUCACUAUAUCAUUUCAUUUAAUGAAAACAUCUGUUUUCCUGAAUAAAGAGCAAUGCAGUAAUCUAUCUGUAUGAUUUGUAAGAUCAUUAUUUCGCUGGGUGCGGCCCCUUUAAGGGGAAGCGAAGACGAGAGUCGAGGAGAGAGAGCUCCACCUUAAGAGUGUCUUUCACUGUUUUAACUAUUAACAUUACAACAGUUCAACUCAUUUUUACACUCAUUGAACAUUGUAUCAUUAAAAAUGAUUCUAUGCCUGGAGAUCACACUGUUCUGAUCACUGAGUUAUAAACACCUUGGAAGUUUGGCAGUACUUGAAAUCAUUCAUUUUACUUCCUCUGUUAACCACUGAUUGAUUGUUAAUCAUUGAGGCCACUUUUAUUCUGUCUGGAGGAAAUCAAGACCUGGAUGGCACAACAUUUCUUGAAUUUCAAUCAAAAGAAGAUAGAAGUGAUGGCAUAUGGUCCCAGUGGCCUUUGUACAUCCCAUCUUGCGUACUUGACCCCCAGGCUCCUUAUUUUAAGCCAACAGUCUCAAACCUGGGUCUUGAACUGGACGGUUUUAAAUUGGAACAGCCGUCAUUAAAUCCAGGUGCUUUCACUUUAGGCAGCUGGCUAAAGUAAAGCCUCUCCUUUCUCAAGAGCACUUUGAAAGAGUAAUGCA